AACGAACGCUGGCGGCAGGCUUAAUACAUGCAAGUCGAACGGGCGCAGCAAUGCGUCAGUGGCAGACGGGUGAGUAACACGUGGGAACCUUCCUCGUUGUACGGAACAACUCAGGGAAACUUGAGCUAAUACCGUAUAAGUCCGAGAGGAGAAAGAUUUAUCGCAAUGAGACGGGCCCGCGUCGGAUUAGGUAGUUGGUGAGGUAACGGCUCACCAAGCCAACGAUCCGUAGCUGAUCUGAGAGGAUGAUCAGCCACACUGGGACUGAGACACGGCCCAGACUCCUACGGGAGGCAGCAGUAGGGAAUCUUGGACAAUGGGCGCAAGCCUGAUCCAGCCAUGCCGCGUGAGUGAAGAA
rnacentral:rRNA from 1 species